rnacentral:rRNA from 1 species
AGAUUGAACGCUGGCGGAAUGCUUUACACAUGCAAGUCGAGCGGCAGCGCGGGGCAACCUGGCGGCGAGCGGCGAACGGGUGAGUAAUGCAUCGGAACAUGUCCAUUCGUGGGGGAUAGCCCGGCGAAAGCCGGAUUAAUACCGCAUACGCCCUUAGGGGGAAAGCCGGGGACCGCAAGGCCUGGCGCGAAUGGGUUGGCCGAUGCCCGAUUAGCUAGUUGGCGGGUAAUGGCCCACCAAGGCGAUGAUCGGUAGCUGGUCUGAGAGGAUGAUCAGCCACACUGGGACUGAGACACGGCCCAGACUCCUACGGGAGGCAGCAGUGGGAAUUUGGACAAGUGGGGGCAACCGUGAUCCAGCCAUUCCGCGUGAGUGAAGAGGCCUUGGGUGUAAGUCUCGUUUGUCCGGUAACGAACGGUUGUGGUAGAAUUACGCCACGACUAC